UAGCAAUGGCUGGGGCUGGUUGG
rnacentral:piRNA from 1 species